AUUGAACGCUGGCGGCAGGCCUAACACAUGCAAGUCGAGCGAGCGGCGGACGGGCGAGUAAUGUAUGGGGACUGCCCGACAGAGGGGGCUGACUACUGGAAACCGUGGCUAAUACUGCAUACUAUCGGAUGACCCUUAUGGGAUUAGCUAGUCGGUGGGGUAUAGGCUCACCUAGGCGACGAUCUCUAGCUGGGCUGAGAGGCUGAUCAGCCACACUGGGACGGAGACACGGCCCAGACUCCUACGGAGGCAGCAGUGGGGAAUAUUGCACAAUGGACGAAAGCCUGAUGCAGCCAUGCCGCGUGUAUGAAGAAGGCCUUAGGGUUGUAAAGUACUUUCGUCGGGGAGGCGUUAUCCAAAGAAGAAGCACCGGCUAACUCCGUGCCAGCAGCCGCGGUAAUUC
rnacentral:rRNA from 1 species